AGAGGGAUAGCUGGGUCAAAUGGUGGCUCCAUUCCAGUUAUCCAAGAAAUCUCCAUAUUGCUUUCUAAAUUGGCUGCACCAAUUUGCAGUCCCACCAGCAAU
rnacentral:pre_miRNA from 1 species